GGGUGCGAUCAUACCAGCACUAAUGCACCGGAUCCCAUCAGAACUCCGAAGUUGAGCGUGCUUGGGUGAGAGUAGUACUAGGAUAGGUGACCCCCUGGGAAGUCCUCGUGUUGCACCCC
rfam:Erythranthe guttata cultivar DTN x IM62 scaffold_88_contig_7, whole genome shotgun sequence.